AUAUCAAUAAGCGGAGGAAAAGAAACCAACAGGGAUUGCCCUAGUAACGGCGAGUGAAGCGGCAAGAGCUCAAAUUUGAAAUCUGGCUUCGGCCCGAGUUGUAAUUUGUAGAGGAACGUUCGGCAAUGCCGCCGGUCCAAGUCUUCUGGAGCGGAGCGUCAUGGAGGGUGAGAACCCCGUACCCGGCUGGUAGGCAGCGCCGUGUGAACGUCCUCAAAGAGUCGA
rnacentral:rRNA from 1 species